rnacentral:rRNA from 14 species
UAAAGGUUUGGUCCUAGCCUUAUUAUUAGUUCAAAUUAGACCUACACAUGCAAGUAUCCGCUACCCAGUGAGAAUGCCCUUAGAACUUUUUAAAGUAAUAAAGGAGCUGGUAUCAGGCACACACCUUGUAGCCAAUUACACCUUGCUUAACCACACCCCCACGGGAUACAGCAGUGAUUAAUAUUAAGCAAUAAACGAAAGUUUGACUAAGUCAUAAUUUACAUUAGGGUUGGUCAAUAUCGUGCCAGCCACCGCGGUCAUACGAUUGACCCAAAUUAAUAAUUUGCCGGCGUAAAGUGUGUUUAAGUUAAAUUAAAAAAUAAAGUUAAUAAUUAACUAAACUGUAGCACGUUCUAGUUAAUAUUAAAAUACACAAUAAAAAUGACUUUAAUACUACCGACUACACGACAACUAAGACACAAACUGGGAUUAGAUACCCCACUAUGCUUAGUAAUAAACUAAAAUAAUUCAAAAACAAAAUUAUUCGCCAGAGGACUACUAGCCAUUGCUUAAAACUCAAAGGACUUGGCGGUGCCCUAGACCCACCUAGAGGAGCCUGUUCUAUAAUCGAUAAACCCCGAUAAACCCGACCUUAUCUUGCCAAUACAGCCUAUAUACCGCCAUCGUCAGCUAACCUUUAAAAAGAACUAUAGUAGGCAAAAUCAUCUUACAUAAAAACGUUAGGUCAAGGUGUAGCGUAUGAUAAGGAAAGUAAUGGGCUACAUUCUCUACUAUUAGAGCAUAACGAAUCACAUUAUGAAAAUAAAGUGCUUGAAGGAGGAUUUAGUAGUAAAUUAAGAGUAGAGAGCUUAAUUGAAUUAGGCAAUAGGGCGCGCACACACCGCCCGUCACCCUCCUCAACAUAAUUACCUAGAUACCUAAUACUAUCAUUCAUCAAAAGAGGAGAAAAGUCGUAACAUGGUAAGUGUACUGGAAAGUGCACUUGGAAUAUC